ACGAUGCACCCCGUAAAUCCCACCAGGGCCGUAAAUUCUACUUAGCAUCUCCAAUGCUAGCUCUACUCCUCUUCUUUGACUAAUGAAUUCGUGGCCAGCUCCCAUAGGAGCACUAUCAGGCAACAGUAAGCGGUGCGCAUCCUGAACAAUUUCGGUCAGCAGGCGAUAAGGGAGCAUGGCGUUGGCAUCGAUGGAUUGUGGAAUCAAGGUUGCUAGGUGGACUGCCAUGGCCGUGAUGGAUCCUUUGUUCUGAGGACUAAUUCAUCGCUGGAGGCAAUUUGGUUGCACUGCACGGCGGUGGCUGCUCACACGACAGCAACAUUUAGCAUUGGCACGGGCAGCUCUAUUAACAGAUGAAUCGGACGUGCUUGAG